rnacentral:misc_RNA from 1 species
CGCCAAGCAGGUUUGGUGAAGCGAAUGGAAAAGUCGGACAAUCUUCUUGGGGUAUAUUUAGCUCAGUUAAAAGGCUAUUUAUGAUUAAUGAUUUAAUAACUUGGAUGAGAAUGAUAAUUAAAAAAAGAAGGUAUUGCAAUGCACGUUUUAAUGAUGUUUCAUAAAUGGUCAUAGUUUAGUUGAUAUAGUUUUUAUGUUAGUGGAGAUGAUAACCUCUUUCUUAAGUACAACAAUUAUGAGAGCUGAGUAGUACAACAGUAGAGUUCCUUUUCCUUCCUUUUUUUAGUUUAUACUACAGUAACCUCCAGUGGUACGGAACCUAAAUAUUUGGGAAUUUUUGUUUUCUUGAAGGAAAUGUGAUUUUGGUAGUUUAAAGCUGUAAUUGUUGGCUUCAAAACUGUGAUGUAGAUAGAAUUCCUUUUACCUAAAAUGGGUGGAGUCUAUUAUUCACUUAGGUAGCUGUUUCAUUCACACCUUUUUAUUCUCUCUUUCUAAAAUUGAAUCUGGAACUGGGUGACGAACCUGCCCUGCAACUUUUCAGGAUGAAGAGGACAAUUUUGCCAUUGUA